UGCAUAAUGAUCAAGCGGCUUUCGGUGACGCCCAUUUUAUGCAGUUGACUUGCAGCUGAGUGGUAAAAAUUUAAAAUGCACACACUGUUUAUAUAUUCAAAUCAAGAUGUGGCUUUGUAUUUGUAUGACAAAGAUUGUGUAUAAAAACUCGAGCGCCCUUUGGAAAAGUUAUCAAACAGUCUUUACUUUCGUAUUCAAUUACAAGUGUUCGCUAGCGCAACAAACUCAAACGCAAAAAUGUUCAACCUUCACAAAGUGCUCAUCGUGUUCGCCGCCUUGGUGUGCAUCGCUGCUGCCUACCCAAGCAUCAUAGGACCAGCCAUCGUUCCCGCUAUUGGAACUGGUGUUGUUGUAGGAGCAGUCGGACCAAUCGGCCCAAUCGUAGGUCUGGGUCAUGGUGGCCUUGUUGGUCACCCUCGUGUAAUUGGUUAAAUAACUACUUCUAAACAAUACUAAUUGAACUGCCAACAUUCCCCACUGGACAACUCCCUUUACACUCCUGCUCAUCGUUAUUUUGUCACACCGCACAUCACUUAUGGAUUAACGAAUGUUAGGAAUUUCGCAACUUUAGUAUAUCGUUGCGUCUCGUUCGCUGCAUUGUUAUGUACUCCUUUAUCAACCAUCAAUAUUUUUUUUUUUUUUUUUCAAAUUGUAUUUUUUAUUUGAAUUUGUUUUGAAUAAAUAUGCAAUAAAGAAAAA